UCCCAGACUCCUACGGGAGGCAGCAGUGGGGAAUAUUGGGCAAUGGGCGCAAGCCUGACCCAGCAACGCCGCGUGAAGGAAGAAGGCUUUCGGGUUGUAAACUUCUUUUGACAGGGAAGAGCAGAAGACGGUACCUGUCGAAUAAGCCACGGCUAACUACGUGCCAGCAGCCGCGGUAAUACGUAGGUGGCAAGCGUUGUCCGGAUUUACUGGGUGUAAAGGGCGUGUAGCCGGGCUUACAAGUCAGAUGUGAAAUCCGGGGGCUCAACCCCCGAACUGCAUUUGAAACUGUAGGUCUUGAGUAUCGGAGAGGCAGGCGGAAUUCCUAGUGUAGCGGUGAAAUGCGUAGAUAUUAGGAAGAACACCAGUGGCGAAGGCGGAUUACUGGACGACAACUGACGGUGAGGCGCGAAAGCGUGGGGAGCAAACAGGAUUAGAUACCCGAGUA
rnacentral:rRNA from 1 species